rnacentral:rRNA from 1 species
UACGGGGGGGGCAAGCGUUGUUCGGAAUUACUGGGCGUAAAGGGCUCGUAGGCGGCCAACUAAGUCAGACGUGAAAUCCCUCGGCUUAACCGGGGAACUGCAUCUGAUACUGGAUGGCUUGAGUUCGGGAGAGGGAUGCGGAAUUCCAGGUGUAGCGGUGAAAUGCGUAGAUAUCUGGAGGAACACCGGUGGCGAAGGCGGUUCUCUGGGCAUUACCUGACGCUGAGGAGCGAAA